rnacentral:rRNA from 1 species
CGGUUUAAGCCUAGCGGCAGCCUAUACAUGCAAGUCGAGGGGCAGCACGGUUUUCGGACUGGUGGCGACCGGCGCACGGGUGCGUAACGCGUAUGCAACCUACCUUAUACAGGGAGAUAGCCCAGAGAAAUUUGGAUUAAUACCCCAUAGUACUACAAGACGGCAUCUGAAAGUAGUUAAAGAUUUAUCGGUAUAAGAUGGGCAUGCGUUAGAUUAGCUAGUUGGUGAGGUAACGGCUCACCAAGGCAACGAUCUAUAGGGGACCUGAGAGGGUGAUCCCCCACACUGGUACUGAGAUACGGACCAGACUCCUACGGGAGGCAGCAGUAGGGAAUAUUGGUCAAUGGAGGGAACUCUGAACCAGCCAUGCCGCGUGCAGGAAGACGGCCUUCUGGGUUGUAAACUGCUUUUGACAGGGAAGAAAUAGUCCAUGCGUGGACAGUUGACGGUACCUGUAGAAUAAGCACCGGCUAACUCCGUGCCAGCAGCCGCGGUAAUACGGAGGGUGCGAGCGUUGUCCGGAUUUAUUGGGUUUAAAGGGUACGUAGGCGGUAAUAUAAGUCAGUGGUGAAAUCCUGCAGCUCAACUGUAGAACUGCCAUUGAAACUGUAUUACUUGAGUAUACUUGAGGUAGGCGGAAUGAGUAGUGUAGCGGUGAAAUGCUUAGAUAUUACUCAGAACACCGAUUGCGAAGGCAGCUUACUAAGGUAUAACUGACGCUGAUGUACGAAAGCGUGGGGAGCGAACAGGAUUAGAUACCCUGGUAGUCCACGCCGUAAACGAUGAUUACUCGCUGUUGGCGAUACACAGUCAGUGGCUAAGCGAAAGUUUUAAGUAAUCCGCCUGGGGAGUACGCUCGCAAGAGUGAAACUCAAAGGAAUUGACGAAA